rnacentral:rRNA from 1 species
AACGAACGCUGGCGGCGUGCUUAACACAUGCAAGUCGAACGGAAACUCCCUGCCUUUGUGGGCAGCUCUAGUUGCGGACGGGUGAGUUACACGUGAGUUACCUGUCCUUGACUUUGGGAUGUCUUCAUACAACUUGGUCUAAUACCGCAUAGGAUUUCUUGCUGCAUGGUGGGGGUUGGAAAGUUUCGGAGGUUGGGGCUGGACUCGCGUCUUAUCGGCUUGUUGUUGGGGUAGUGGUUUACGAAGGCUUUGACGGGUAGCAGGGCUGACAGGGUAACCGGACAAAUUGGAACUGGAAUGAGGCACAGACUACUACGGGAGGCAGCAGUGGGGUAUAUUGCACAAUAGGAGGAAGCCUGAUGCAGCACCGCCGCGUGCGGGGAGAGAGGCAUCGGGUUGUAUACCACUUUCGCCUGUGACGAAGCGUGAGUGACGGUAAUGGGUAAAGAAGCACCGGCUAACUACGUG